ACAUGGAAGCAGAAUGUUGUAGA
rnacentral:piRNA from 1 species